CAGAACGAACGCUGGUCGCAGGCUUAACACAUGCAAGUCGAGCGGCCGUAGCAAUACGGCAGCGGCAGACGGGAGCCUAACACGUGGGAACGUACCUUUCGGUUCGGAACAACCCAGGGAAACUUGGGCUAAUACCGGAUACGCCCUUACGGGGAAAGAUUUAUCGCCGAAAGAUCGGCCCGCGUCUGAUUAGCUAGUUGGUGGGGUAACGGCCCACCAAGGCGACGAUCAGUAGCUGGUCUGAGAGGAUGAUCAGCCUCACUGGGACUGAGACACGGCCCAGACUCCUACGGGAGGCAGCAGUGGG
rnacentral:rRNA from 2 species